CGAACUUUACCGAAGAAGGCCUUGUCAAUUUCUCCAAAAUGCGAAUGAUAUCACACAUCAUUCGUGAGAUACGCCAGUUCCAGCAGACCGCUUACCGCAUAGACCAGCAGCCAAAGGUCAUACAAUACCUGCUUGACAAAGCCCUUGUCAUAGAUGAAGAUACACUCUAUGAGCUGUCACUCAAGAUUGAACCUCGACUCCCUGCCUGAAGAUCUGGCCUUGUCCCCGAGACCACUGGAAUUCCGUGGAAAGUGGGUCACGCAUGGCACAGGGGGGAACCAGAGGGACAACGCCUGCCUCCUUUCACCACCAAAGACAGAACCUGACUGUAAUUCUGUCUCCAGCAAGAGUGAAGCCCUGCUGCAUGGGCCAAAGGCAGAUGCUCCAGGCUUGGGUGGGAAGGUGUAAACGGUAAAGCCUGGGAAGCUGAUGGCACAGUUUGCAUAAGGGGUAUAGUAUGGAGACGCUGGUAGCAAUUGUAAUGAAGUGGA